CCAGCGGUAGGCCGUGGGCGGACGCCGCUUCGCGGGUGGCGGUGAGCAGUCGCGCGAGCGCGGCGGGUUCGACGCCCAUCCGCAGCCC
rnacentral:tRNA from 1 species